CCUACGUGUGGCAGCAGUGGGGAAUAUUGCGCAAUGGGCGAAAGCCUGACGCAGCGACGCCGCGUGAGGGAUGAAGGUCUUCGGAUCGUAAAACUCUGUCAGCAGGGAAGAACGGUCACUGUGCUAAUCAGCCGUGAAUUGACGGUACCUGCAAAGGAAGCACCGGCUAACUCCGUGCCAGCAGCCGCGGUAAUACGGAGGGUGCGAGCGUUAAUCGGAAUUACUGGGCGUAAAGCGCUCGUAGGCGGUAUGUCAAGUCAAGGGUGAAAUCCCCGCGCUCAACGUGGGAACGGCCUUUGAAACUGGCAAACUGGAGUGUGUGGGAGGAUAGUGGAAUUCCAGGUGUAGGAGUGAAAUCCGUAGAGAUCUGGAGGAACAUCAGUGGCGAAGGCGACUAUCUGGCACAUAACUGACGCUGAGGAGCGAAAGCGUGGGUAGCAAACAGGAUUAGAUACCCCAGUAGUC
rnacentral:rRNA from 1 species